CCGGGCAGGACCUGGCGACUGAGCGUCCUGCUCAUUCGCUGCUCUCGCUCUGUGAACGUAGUGGGCGAGGUCUCCGCCGCCAUGGUGCCUGACAGAUGCUCCUCAACUUAAGGUGGAAUUAUGACUCAGUUAUGGCCCAGACCAGACUGUGGCAGCCAUUUGGGGCUGAAGCAGUGGGUCGGCAAGCUAAUCCUUCACCUACAAGUGCUGGCCUCAUAAAUGGAUGAUGGUUCAUGUCUCGGUUGCUCUACUUCCUAUCCAGCUCCCUGCUU